rnacentral:rRNA from 1 species
GCUUAGUGGCGAACGGGUGAGUAACGCGUGAGUAACCUGCCCUAGAGUGGGGGACAACAGUUGGAAACGACUGCUAAUACCGCAUAAGCCCACGGUACCGCAUGGUACUGAGGGAAAAGGAUUUAUUCGCUUUAGGAUGGACUCGCGUCCAAUUAGCUAGUUGGUGAGGUAACGGCCCACCAAGGCGACGAUUGGUAGCCGGACUGAGAGGUUGAACGGCCACAUUGGGACUGAGACACGGCCCAGACUCCUACGGGAGGCAGCAGUGGGGGAUAUUGCACAAUGGGGGAAACCCUGAUGCAGCGACGCCGCGUGGAGGAAGAAGGUUUUCGGAUUGUAAACUCCUGUCGUUAGGGACGAUAAUGACGGUACCUAACAAGAAAGCACCGGCUAACUACGUGCCAGCAGCCGCGGUAAAACGUAGGGUGCAAGCGUUGUCCGGAAUUACUGGGUGUAAAGGGAGCGCAGGCGGGAAGACAAGUUUGGAAGUGAAAACCAUGGGCUCAACCCAUGAAUUGCUUUCAAAACUGUUUUUCUUGAGUAGUGCAGAGGUAGAUGGAAUUCCCGGUGUAGCGGUGGAAUGCGUAGAUAUCGGGAGGAACACCAGUGGCGAAGGCGGUCUACUGGGCACCAACUGACGCUGAGGCUCGAAAGCAUGGGUAGCAAACAGGAUUAGAUACCCUGGUAGUCCAUGCCGUAAACGAUGAUUACUAGGUGUUGGGGGAAUUGACCCCCUCAGUGCCGCAGUUAACACAAUAAG